GCUUUUCUGUCUGUGCAACAGAUCACUUGGUACAUUCAUGAAGAAGUCAUGUAAAAGAAAUGCAGACAUCUGUUAUCAUAUCAGAAACAAAGAGGAGCGAAUGCAAAGAUCCAUGGCGAUUGUCCGGCAGCCUCACAAGGUGUCUUCUGUCUGUCCAAGGAGUGGGUGAAGAAGAAGAAGUUGUCUCCUUUUGAACCCCUCCACAGCCACGUGAUGCAACCACAGGAAGAGGUCUAACAGUCACAGCCGCUCUCUUUCUCUUCUUCCGUCUUAGCUCUCUGCAGACUUUUUUUUUUAAAUGCUGACAGCAACCAUGAAGAUAAUUUGUCCCAGACAGUACAGCUUCUUAAUGACACAAACUACACGGGAAACAAAUACACUCUCAACAUUUGAGAUUUUUUUGUGUUUACCACAAACAUCCCAGAUUUCCUUUUAAUAAAGUCUUAAUCAUC